CCUACGGGAGACUGCAGUGAGGAAUAUUGGUCAAUGGACGCAAGUCUGAACCAGCCAUGCCGCGUGCAGGACGACGGCUCUAUGAGUUGUAAACUUCUUUUGUACGGGGGUAAACGCAGAUACGUGUAUCUGUCUGAAAGUACCUUAUGAAUAAGGAUCGGCUAACUCCGUGCCAGCAGCCGCGGUAAUACGGAGGAUUCAAGCGUUAUCCGGAUUUAUUGGGUUUAAAGGGUGCGUAGGCGGUCGGAUAAGUUAGGGGUGAAAUCCCGAGGCUCAACUUCGGAAUUGCCUUUGAUACUGUUCGGCUUGAGAUUAGUUGAGGUAGGCGGAAUGCGUGGUGUAGCGGUGAAAUGCUUAGAGAUUAGGCAGAACACCGAUUGCGAAGGCAGCUUACCAGGCUACUUCUGACGUUGAGGCACGAAAGCGUGGGGAGCAAACAGGAUUAGAUACCCUAGUAGUC
rnacentral:rRNA from 1 species